AGGCGUCGCAGUUUUUAAUUGCUCAUUCCGAGGUAUAGUCUACCUUACAGACUGCAAAGCGUUGGGAUCAUAUUAAGUAGGCUACAAAGAGGUGCGUGUUUAACCGUUCCUACCAGGACUUGAGAAGUUGUACAAUGAAGUUUGUGUUGUUAUUGGUUGCUGUGGGGAUGUGCGUUUCACUUUAUGGGUCUCCGCUGUCGAGACGAGAAGAGAAUCCUUGCGACGACGAAACGUGCGGAGCUAACUGCCAUUACCACAGCUGGGGGUAUUUCUGUAAUGGCUACUGCAGCAAAGAGCCUGAGCUUGUGGGUGAGAAUUACAGCGGCUCCGGCGUAUGUAUCUGUCAAGUCGAAGAAGAUUGUCAACGGGUACUGAAUCGCACGAGGCGGGACAUAUCUUGGUAAUAUACAAAAAAGUGUUUUAGAUACCAGAGCACUGCCACUGUUAUUCUAAUGAGUUAGCCUUGCAGUUGCAAUUACGAAUUAUUCAGAUUAUUUCAAAUGCAUUCUACUGACAUAACGGACACUGAUAUAUGGCUGUCAAACUCUAUUACUGCUCCCAUCAGAUUGUUGGUGGUGAUGCUUGUUUUUACCUGAUUAAGACUGACAUUUUGACAACAUAACUGCCUUCCCCUGGACGCUGAAACAAAGAACGAAAAGAACGAAAGAACGCUGAUAGGUUGAAUUUGUCAAAGUUUUCUAUUUAUUCCCGUGAAUAAUAUGCAUUGAAACACUGCCAUCUGAUUCCAAAGUAAAAAUAUUUGUGACAAUAAAACUAUUCUUAAAUUAAGAGGA